UCGAACGGUGAAGCAGAGCUUGCUCUGUGGAUCAGUGGCGAACGGGUGAGUAACACGUGAGCAACCUGCCCCGGACUCUGGGAUAAGCGCUGGAAACGGCGUCUAAUACUGGAUACGAGCAGCGGAGGCAUCUCCAGCUGCUGGAAAGAUUUUUUGGUCUGGGAUGGGCUCGCGGCCUAUCAGCUUGUUGGUGAGGUAAUGGCUCACCAAGGCGUCGACGGGUAGCCGGCCUGAGAGGGUGACCGGCCACACUGGGACUGAGACACGGCCCAGACUCCUACGGGAGGCAGCAGUGGGGAAUAUUGCACAAUGGGCGGAAGCCUGAUGCAGCAACGCCGCGUGAGGGACGACGGCCUUCGGGUUGUAAACCUCUUUUAGCAAGGAAGAAGCGAAAGUGACGGUACUUGCAGAAAAAGCGCCGGCUAACUACGUGCCAGCAGCCGCGGUAAUACGUAGGGCGCAAGCGUUAUCCGGAAUUAUUGGGCGUAAAGAGCUCGUAGGCGGUUUGUCGCGUCUGCUGUGAAAACCCGAGGCUCAACCUCGGGCCUGCAGUGGGUACGGGCAGACUAGAGUGCGGUAGGGGAGAUUGGAAUUCCUGGUGUAGCGGUGGAAUGCGCAGAUAUCAGGAGGAACACCGAUGGCGAAGGCAGAUCUCUGGGCCGUAACUGACGCUGAGGAGCGAAAGGGUGGGGAGCAAACAGGCUUAGAUACCCUGGUAGUCCACCCCGUAAACGUUGGGAACUAGUUGUGGGGUCCAUUCCACGGAUUCCGUGACGCAGCUAACGCAUUAAGUUCCCCGCCUGGGGAGUACGGCCGCAAGGCUAAAACUCAAAGGAAUUGACGGGGACCCGCACAAGCGGCGGAGCAUGCGGAUUAAUUCGAUGCAACGCGAAGAACCUUACCAAGGCUUGACAUACACGAGAACACCCUGGAAACAGGGGACUCUUUGGACACUCGUGAACAGGUGGUGCAUGGUUGUCGUCAGCUCGUGUCGUGAGAUGUUGGGUUAAGUCCCGCAACGAGCGCAACCCUCGUUCUAUGUUGCCAGCACGUAAUGGUGGGAACUCAUGGGAUACUGCCGGGGUCAACUCGGAAGAAAGGUGGGGAUGACGUCAAAUCAUCAUGCCCCUUAUGUCUUGGGCUUCACGCAUGCUACAAUGGCCGGUACAAAGGGCUGCAAUACCGUGAGGUGGAGCGAAUCCCAAAAAGCCGGUCC
rnacentral:rRNA from 1 species